rnacentral:ncRNA from 1 species
GAUGGUCCCGCGCGAGCGGGUGAAAAGGGAACGCCGUGCGUCCCGGCGGAACCUGCGGGUUCGGGGGCCAGUCGGCGGCUGCCCCCGCAACUGUCAGCGGCGCGAAGCCGGUCCGCUGCCCUCACGGGCGAGUCACUGAGCCCUCCGGCUCGGGAAGACAGGACCGGCCUCCCGGACCCGUCCGGGGCGCGGCGAGCCAGGAGACCUGCCAUCGU